rnacentral:lncRNA from 1 species
UUUAUAACCAUUUAAAGACAAUUUAAAUUGUUAAAUGACAGAAAAUCAUAAAUAUUUUUCCGUUUAACAAGAAAACUCAAAUUUAAAUUUGGAAACAAAUACUUUCAGAACAAAAAGUUUUUGCUCAUAUAAUUUUCAAUCAAAUUUAAAUGAAAACUAAUUAGUUAUAUUUAAUAUUAUAUUUUUUAUAAACAUUUAAAGAGCAUUUUUGAAAUUAGUUUGUCAGCGCAGCCAAAAAAAGAUAAACAUAAAACUAUAUUUCUCAAUUGAACAAAAAAAAAAAACAAAUUCAUUAAAAACUAACAUAUUCACCACCUUAAAUUUGCAAUACAACUCGUUCAAUAAACUAAAAACUUCAUAAACCAUAAACAAAUAAAUACCCUAAAAAGUUAUUCGUUUUUUGCACUCAUUAAAUUUUC